rnacentral:rRNA from 1 species
GACGAACCGUGCGAACGUUAUUCGGAAUCACUGGGCUUAAAGGGCGCGUAGGCGGGCUCGCCAGUCAGGGGUGAAAGCCCACAGCUCAACUGUGGAAGUGCCUUUGAUACUGCGAGUCUCGAGGGAGGUAGGGGCGUGCGGAACUUCCGGUGGAGCGGUGAAAUGCGUAGAUAUCGGAAGGAACACCGGUGGCGAAAGCGGCGCGCUGGACCUCUUCUGACGCUGAGGCGCGAAAGCCAGGGGAGCAAACGGG